rnacentral:rRNA from 1 species
AAAGCGGAGGAAAAGAAAAUAACAAUGAUUUCCCUAGUAACGGCGAGUGAACAGGAAAGAGCUCAAAGUUGGAACCUGCUUGACUUAGUUAAGCCGGAUUGUAAACUGUAGAAACGUUUUCUAGGCAAGCCGAGUUAAAAAGUCCUUUGGAACAGGGCAUCAUAGAGGGUGAGAAUCCCGUCUUUGACUUGAGCAUUUGUCUUUUAUGAUACGUUUUCAAAGAGUCAGGUUGUUUGGGAAUGCAGCCUAAAUUGGGUGGUAAAUCUCACCUAAAGCUAAAUAUUGGCGAGAGACCGAUAGCGAACAAGUACCGUGAGGGAAAGAUGAAAAGAACUUUGAAAAGAGAGUUAAACAGUAUGUGAAAUUGUUAAAAGGGAACCGUUUGGAGCCAGACUGGCUUGGUUGUAAUCAAUCUGGGUUUUUUCCUUGAUGCACUUGCAAUCUAUGCCUGCCAACGGCAGUUUUCUUCAAUAGGGAGAAAACUAGCAGGAAUGUAGGUCGGCCUUCGGGUUGGCUGUUAUAGACUGUUAGAUAAUACCUUGAAGGGGACUGAGGAUCGCAGCGGAUGCUUAGGCGGUUCUGGGUGCUUUAUUUUUGCUUAUGCCGGUGAAAUUUCUAUUUAGGUAGUGUCAUCAGUAUCGGCGAGAAUACGGUAUCUUUUGAAUCUA